UUCUUAUCAAGAGAAGCUGAGGGGAAGGCCCUAUGACGCUUCAGCAACCUCUGUGUAUGCAGAAAGGUGCUACAUCCUGCAAGAUUAAAUCUUGGAAGAUAAGAG
rnacentral:ncRNA from 1 species